CGGGUGAGUAACACGUGGAUAAUCUACCCAAUGAUCUGGGAUAACAUUUUGAAAAGAAUGCUAAUACCAGAUAAGCCUACGUAUUCUUCGGAAUCAGUAGGAAAAGGUGGGGACCUUCGGGCCUACUGUCAUUGGAUGAGUCCGCGGCCCAUUAGCUAGUUGGUGGGGUAAUGGCCUACCAAGGCAACGAUGGGUAGCUGGUCUGAGAGGAUGAUCAGCCACACUGGGACUGAGACACGGCCCAGACUCC
rnacentral:rRNA from 1 species